GGAUUUUGAUUCCCUAUCAAUUCUCAAAUAUGAAACCCCUCCUCCUGCCUUAGGUUCUACGAGCAGUCAAGCGCCAUUAGCGUAACACAACGAAUCAGGAGCAAUUCCGAGCUAUGAGGACGUUAAAGAGUGUUUUGGAGCUAAUAUGGAGUAUUGAAGGCCAAUUGGAGGUUAGCGCGCUUAAAAAGAAGAAAGAAACAAUGCUGCAUAAAAUCCUCCAGGUGCGCAGUCUAUGCGCGGUCUAUGCGCGGCCGUGCAUUGGGCCACGCAUGACAGGCAGAAACUGGCCAAAGUGCGCAGUCGAUGCGCGGCCGCACACGCACUUCCGAGAAAAAUAGUCCAAGGCCAAUUUUGUAAUUUGAAAGGCGAUUAACCUUGACCUAUAUGAAGCCCAACUCGCCCAAAAAGAGGGUAUCUCUGUUUUUAGAAGAACUUUGGAGGUAAGAACACAAAAUGAGCAAGACGGAGAAUUCUCCUACUAGUUUUUCAUCUUCUUCUUCUUCUUCUUCUUAAUUCCAUUGUUGGAUAUGACUUUUUAUAUUGUAAUUGUGCAUAAUAGUAUGAGUAGCUAAACCCGUCAUAUAGGGUUGAUAGAACUAAUUGUUGGAUGAAGUCUUGAUUACGUUUUGAUAUAAUUGAGCCGUUUUUACU